AAGUCGUAACAAGGUUUCCGUAGGUGAACCUGCGGAAGGAUCAUUAACACGUAUCCACGUAUCAACCAACCAGAGAACAGUUUUCUUUCUCCCUGUACGGAAAAAGGCAUGGAAUUAACCGCACGAGGGGCUUGGCGGGGUGGAAACACCUACCUUCGUGUCGCCAUACAAACAUGCGUAUUUCACAUCAGGCUAGUUCCGACUCCAUUUCUGUCCGACCGAAGUGUUGGAGGAGGACACCCACAUAUUAACGAUAAUCACCACCUUUUUGCUAGUUGACUUUUAUAUGUUGUAUUUUCUUCGGAAAGUGCACACGUUUAAUUAUUUGAACGUUAAAAAUACAACUCUUAGCAAUGGAUAUCUUGGUUCUC
rnacentral:misc_RNA from 1 species